rnacentral:rRNA from 1 species
GUGGGGAAUCUUGCGCAAUGGGCGAAAGCCUGACGCAGCGACGCCGCGUGGGUGAUGAAGGCCUUCGGGUUGUAAAGCCCUGUGGAGGGGGACGAAUAAGGGCAGCCUAAUACGCUGACUGAUGACGGUACCCCUUUAGCAAGCACCGGCUAACUCUGUGCCAGCAGCCGCGGUAAGACAGAGGGUGCAAACGUUGUUCGGAAUUACUGGGCGUAAAGCGCGUGUAGGCGGCUUGGCAAGUCGGGUGUGAAAGCCCUGGGCUCAACCUAGGAAGUGCACUCGAAACUGCUUCGCUGGAGUGCCGGAGAGGAAAGCGGAAUUCUCGGUGUAGAGGUGAAAUUCGUAGAUAUCGAGAGGAACACCGGUGGCGAAGGCGGCUUUCUGGACGGUUACUGACGCUGAGACGCGAAAGCGUGGGGAGCAAACAGGAUUAGAAACCCCGGUAGUCC